UUGGGUUAAGUGCAAGGGCGCACGGUGGAUUGCCUUGACACUCAGGAGUCGCAUGAAGGAUGGGACUAACGCCGAUGAUGCGUCGGGAAGCUGUAAGUAAGCUUGCUGAUCCGAGAGAUUUCCGGAAUGGGGAAACCCACAUACGUUAAUGUAUGGUAACCUAUCUGAAUACAUUAGGGAAGGAAGACAGACCAGGGAACUGAAAACAGUCUAAGGUACUGGAGGAAGAGAAGCAAUGCGAUUUCCUGAGUAGCGGCGGCGACAACGGAACAUAGCCCAGAACCAAGAGGCUUGCCUCUGGGGUUGUAUGACAUUCUAUACGGAGUUAACAAAGGAACGGAUGGUAGACGAAGGACUGGAAUAGGUCCGUCGUAGAGGUAACAAUCCGUAGUCGAAAACUUCGUUUUCGUCUGAAUGUAUUCUGAGUAGGCGCGGAACACGUGAAUUCCGUCGGAAUUGGGAGACCAUCUCCGCAAGGCUAAAUACUCCCUAGGUGAUGCGAUAGUGAACCAGUACCGUGAGCUGGAAGGUGAAAAGCACCCCGGAGGGGAGUGAAAGAGAUCCUGAAAGCCGGUGCCUACAAUAGUCAGAGCCCGUUAACGGGUGAAGUGGCGUGCUUUUGUAGAAUGAACCGGCGAGUGUACGACUCGUGCGAAGGUUAAGCUGAAGAGGCGGAGCUCGCAGCGGAAAGCGAGUCUGAAUAUGGCGUUUCGACGUGGUCGGUAAGACCCGAAAGCCAGGUGAUCUAUCCCAUGUCCAGGGUGAAGUUUCCGGUAACACUGCUGGAAUGGCCCGAACGCCACGCACGUUUGGAAAAGUGCGGGAUGAGGUGUGGUGUAGCGGAGAAAUUCAAUCGAAGCGCUGGAGAUAGCUGGUUUCCGCCGAUAAUACUUAGGGCUAGCCUUAAUGUAAGAGUCUUGGAGUAGAGCGCUUGAUUGGCCUAGGGGUCCCACGGAGAUUACGAAUUCUCAAACUCCGAAUGCCAACUGACUUAUCCUUCAGGAGUCAGACUGCGAGUGAUAAGAUUCCGUAGUCAAAGGGAGAACCGCCCAGACCGCCAGCUAAGGUCCCAAAGGUGGUAUGAAGUGGAAAAAGGAUGUGGAGUUGCUAGACAACUAGAUGUUGGAUUAGAAUGCAGCCACCAUUUAAGAGUGGUAACGUAGCUCACUAGUGAGUUGACUCUGCGCCGAAAUGUACCGGGCUAAUACAGCACCGAAGCGUGCGGAUUGAUACGCAUUGGUGAUCAGUGGUUAGGGGAGCGUUUCUCAGGGAAGUGAAGUCAGACUGUAGGGGCGGGUGGAUGCUUAGAAGUGGAAUGCCGGUAUGAGUAGCGAAGACGGUGAGAAUGCCGUCCACCGAGACCUAAGGUUUCCUGAGGCAGGGCUCGUCCGCUCAGGUUAGUCAGACCUAAGCCAGGCCUGACAGGGCGUAGCGCGUGGAACAGGUUGAUAUCUGUUACUACACUCUUUAUCGGUUUGAAGCAAUGGGAGGGACGCAGAAGGAUAGGAAGAAGCGUCGCUGAUUAGUUGUGCACGUCCAAGCAGUUAGGCUGCUAAGUUAGGCAUUAAUCCGCUUAUCGUCAAGGCUGAGCUUGAAUGGGGAACUCCUUAUGGAGGCGAAGGUCUUUGAUUCCCCGCUGCCAAGAAAGCUUCUAGCGAGAUAAAAGGUGCCUGUAGCAAACAACGAGCACAGGUAAGGCGAGGAGAGAAUCAAGGUUGGCGAGAGACUCUGGUUAAGGAACUCGGCAAAAUGACCCCGAACUUCGGAGAAGGGGUGCUUUCUUGAACGGAAGCGCAGUGAAUAGGCCAAGCGACUUUUAGCAAAAAUCACAGCUCUCUGCGAAGCGUAAGGCGAAGUAUAGCUGGGGUGACACCUGCCCGGUGCUGAAGUGUAAGGAGAGGGUUAGCGUAAGCGAAGCUCUGAACUGAAGCCCCAGUUAACCGGCGGCCGUAACUAUACGGUCCUGAAAGGUAGGAUUCCUUGUCGGGUAGUUCGACGUCACGAAGUGUACGAUUCUGGCAUUCUCAACCAGAGACUCGGUGAAAUUAUAGUGACCUGUAAGCAUGUCAGUUUACCCGCGACAGACGAAAGACCCCGUGGAGCUUACUGUAGCCUGAUUAUUGAUUUUGUAAGUUGUACAGGAUAGCGGGAUGCCAUUGAAACGCCCGGAGCGCUAGGUUCGGUGGAGCGCUGGGGGAUACCGCCCUGACUGAUUGAAUAUUCUAACCUACGGGUCUUUAUCGACCCGGAGAACAGUGUUCAGGUCGGCAGUUUGACUGGGGCGUGUCCGCCUCCUAUAAGUGUAACUGGAGGCGCCAAAGUGUUUCCGUCAGAAUGGUUGGAAUCAUCGUAGAGUGGCAAAGGCAUAGGGAGCCUGACUGCGGAGACCGUACAAGUCGAGCAGGGACGAAGUCGGCUUAGUGAUCCGGUGGUCCGCAUGAGGGCCAGCUCCCCCCAAGAGUCCACAUGAGACGGAGGUUGGCACAUCGAUGUCGGCUCAUCGCAUCCUGCGGGCUGUAGUCGGUCCAAGGGUUGGGCUGUUCGCCAUUAAAGCGGUAAAGCGAGCUGGGUUCAGAACAGCGUGAGAAGUUCGGUCCCUAAAAUCCGUCGUGGGCGUAGGAAUUUGAGAGGCAGCGGUCCUUAGUACGAGAGGACCGGGAUGGACGCACCGCUGGUUUGUAACCAGUUGUUCUGCCAAGGGCAUAAGCUGGUAGCUUAUGCUGCGGAAGGGAUAAGUGCUGGAAAGCUCUAAGCAUCGAAGCCCCCUCAAGAUGGAGAUUUCCCAUAGCGUAAGCUAGUACAGAUCCUGAAAGAUGCUCAGGUGUAGGUUUCGAGGUGGAAAGCAUGGUGAACAUGUGGACGCUGAACGAAUACUAACGAUCGAGGACUUAAACCAUA
rnacentral:rRNA from 1 species